CCCAUUCCACCUACCUUUCAUAUCAGCACCUCUCAACUCUUCAAAAUCUACUCUUCAACAACUCUCAAGUCUUGGUCUUCCCUUUCACAUAGCAAGAGGGCUGCCUUGUACGCUGGGAACACGAGUUUGAGAGAGGAAAUUUGACGGCUGCAUUAUGUGAGAUUCAAGUGAAGAAGCAAUAAAAUCUAUCCCUUACAUCCAUCUGGAUCUGACAUUAUUUUUCAGAUUCACUUGAUGCACGUGAGAGGAGCUCGUGACUUCUUUAGACGGUGCUAACCCUAGUCCUUUGGAUCUUGACACGUGGCUGAAUCUGUUGCAAGAUAUAUAUAUAUAUCUCUUUUGCCUUGUAACCCUAGAGUGAAUUUUUAUUCUUGGUUGACGGCUGGUUUCGAGAGAGAGUGAGAGCAGAGAGAAGGGUGAGUUAGGGUUUGCUUCUGGGAAGAAAUCUGUGCGAUUUCUUGGGUUUCCAGUGAGGGCAUUGUAACUCUAAUGUACUGAGGCUUCUCUAUGAAGUACUGUUCAUCAAUAAAGAUCUCUGUGGCUUUUCUGAGGCCAUUCCUGCCGUGGACGUAGACCAUUAGGGUCGAACCACGUAUAUCGGUGUGUUCUUUCCUUUAUCUCUAUAUUUUCUUCAUUCUUGCUCACUGAUUAUGAUUCUUGAUAUGUUUAUGUGCAUAUUGUGAUAUAUUAGCAAACUGUACA